rnacentral:rRNA from 1 species
AUUGAACGCUGGCGGCAGGCCUAACACAUGCAAGUCGAGCGGAUGAAGGGAGCUUGCUCCUGGAUUCAGCGGCGGACGGGUGAGUAAUGCCUAGGAAUCUGCCUGGUAGUGGGGGAUAACGUCCGGAAACGGGCGCUAAUACCGCAUACGUCCUUAGGGAGAAAGUGGGGGAUCUUCGGACCUCACGCUAUCAGAUGAGCCUAGUUCGGAUUAGCUAGUUGGUGGGGUAAAGGCCUACCAAGGCGACGAUCCGUAACUGGUCUGAGAGGAUGAUCAGUCACACUGGAACUGAGACACGGUCCAGACUCCUACGGGAGGCAGCAGUGGGGAAUAUUGGACAAUGGGCGAAAGCCUGAUCCAGCCAUGCCGCGUGUGUGAAGAAGGUCUUCGGAUUGUAAAGCACUUUAAGUUGGGAGGAAGGGCAGUAAGUUAAUACCUUGAUGUUUUGACGUUACCAAAAGAAUAAGCACCGGCUAACUUCGUG